rnacentral:tRNA from 1 species
UAGCUCAGUUGGCCAGAGCAGCUGAUUUGUAAUCAGCUGGUCGGGGGUUCGAAUCCCUC